rnacentral:rRNA from 1 species
GGUGCUAAUACCGCAUAACAACGAAAACCACAUGGUUUUCGUUUCAAAGAUGGUUUCGGCUAUCACUUCAGGAUGGGCCCGCGGUGCAUUAGCUAGUUGGUAAGGUAACGGCUUACCAAGGCGAUGAUGCAUAGCCGAGUUGAGAGACUGAUCGGCCACAAUGGAACUGAGACACGGUCCAUACUCCUACGGGAGGCAGCAGUG